GACAGGUCGCAUGCUAUCCUCCGGCGGUGUUGGCCGCUUGAGGGGAAGGUGCCCUUAGUACGAGAGGAACCGGGUGCCGCGGCCUCUUGUCUACCGGUUGUCCUGCAGGGCACUGCCGGGCAGCUACGCCGUUUCCGAUAAGGCCUGAAAGCAUCUAAGGCCGAAGCGGUCCCCAAAAAUAAGCGGCCACUCCCU
rnacentral:rRNA from 1 species